GCCAUCUUAUAGAUUUACGUAUGGUUACCCAUGGCUGUGAGUUUACAAGAAUUGUUCUUGCAUUCAAAAUUACAACUGACAGUCAAAGGAGCAGUGUCAAUAUGGAGAUCCCAUAUAUUAUUGAAAAUACUUAAAUCAAAAGCUAUCUAUUAAUAAUUUUGGCUCUCUGCCAAAAUGCUUUAUAUAAACAGACUCUUCACAUCUCUCACAAUCUACCAUGUGUCCUCUCCUACCGCCAUUAUCUGUCAACAGGGACACUACUGACUGUCCGGCUUUUUAUAGGUGCCAUCUGAAAACCAUCAUUGCAGAAAGGGCUGCCAAAGUGCCCAAAAGAUUAGAGAAAGAUCAAAUGGUCAGCCCCACUGGCUGGGAACAAGACUGAAAGUAAGUGGAUGGGGAAAAACUGCGGAUACUGAAAAUCCAAGAAACACGCACAAAAUGCCGGAGGAACUCAUCAGGCCAGGCAGCAUUUAUGCAAAACAAGCCAAUUUAAGUUGAAAUGUUGAAAAGGAAGGAUGAGUGAUGCACCAUCAAUAACUCUCGGAGACGGGAGGCGAACGAUAGGCUUUUAUUAGCUGCAAGAAACGACCACACAACAUCCUGGAGACUGAGGGGGGAGCAGUGCCUCCAAUUGCCUUCAUACCGGGGUCUGUGGGAGGAGCCACAGGAGCAGUCAGCAGAGAGGCAUGUCCAGACAGGGAGAUGACACAGAGUCAAGAGAAGUGAGGCAAAGCAGCAGUUAAGUUGUGGAGCCUAUACAGAUUACGGAGGAGGAGGCGCUGUCCUGAAGCAUAUGCAUAAAUCACCAGGGCCUGACAAAGUGAUCCCUUGGACCCUGUGGGAAGCAAGUGCAGAAGUUGCAGAGGCCCUAAAUAUUCUUAAUAAAAGAAUUAAAUAAAUGAAUAUCCAUUUUACAACCACACUAACAACAACAUGGAUCUACAAUAAAAAUAGUCAUGCAGAGAAAAGUUUCAGAUUAUUAUGAAUCUCUAACAAGAUGGCACCAGCAAACAACCAAACCAAUGGUGACGUCCUGCUGACAGUUCACAAACCAACUUCUUUUACUAUUUCUUUCAAAUAUGAUUCUACUACUAAGCCGUAUGCAAUUAGAAUCCGUGAUUUACAUUCUGAUAGAUCGCUCAAUUGAUCCCAAAAUGCACUAACACUUUGCUGUCUCCGAGGGAGUUCAAUGAGGAUGGUAGUGGAGUGCGUGGCCUGGAUAUCUGGUAGCCUGAAGAUGGAGCACAAGCUGAUGCUGGACUCCAUUGCUUCUCUCCACUUGAGGUGUCAAGGGCAUGAGCCCAUGAUUGACUUCAUUGUUACAUUCUGAUUGCGACAUCAAGCAAGGUUGAGGUCGACAAGGACGAGAGCGGAGGAUAGACGGAUAUUUGGUGCAGUCUGCCUGAGUUUGACUGGUCUUCCUCGCCCUCUCACUGUGCUGUCAAAGGGAAGUUCAGAAGUUUCAGGAUCCACAUUGCCAGAAUUGAUCAGUGAGACUGUUGACUUGUUUUGAGGGACUUCGAGGUUCAUGGUGCAUGUGUUCCUGGAUUCUGAGCAGUUUGAACAGGGUAAUUGAUGAGCACUGGCGUGUUCCAGCAAAGAAUGGUCCUGCAGCCUGUAUGGCUGCAUUGAACUGAACUAAACUGAGUACUGCUGGUUUGAUGCUUGAUAUUCUAUGUGCUGUUCCCUCUUUUCACUGUUUUUUUCACAUGUUGGAUGUUUUGAUAUUUUCUUGAAUGGAUACUGUGGCAUUUCUGUGUUUCUUUGUUUCAUGACUGCAUGCAGGAGGACAAAUCUCAGAACUGUAUUCUGUAAACGUACAGUCGCGAAUUCAACCAACCGCGAAUCGAGAAAACCCAGAAGUGCUCUUCCAGUUCUUGUUGUUUGAGCAUGACCUUCUUUUACUUGUCAUUAUUCCCUAAACAAUGCAGUAUAACAACUAUUUUACAUAGCAUUUACAUUGUAUUAGCUAUUAUAAGUAAUCUAGAGAUGAUUUAAAGUAUACGGGAGGACAUGCAUAGGUUAUCGUGGAUCAGGAUUGAAAAAAAACUAAGUUCUCUUACUAAGUAAGUCAGAAUAGGUACAUCCAGUAUUAUUUAGCGUCAGUUAGUCAAACAUUUGUCUUAGAAAAUAGUAUAUAUUUUACCCUUCUAUGCUUAUAAAACACUUAAGAAAUGUAUGUAUUUCAAUAAUUAAACCAUUGCAUUGCUUAGUAAUAAUUGUAGCUUUCAUCGGGGCAGGGCCUUUCUCACUUUAUUCUUUAAAAUUGUUCCGAUCGUUGACUGACUGUAGCCUAACGCUUUUCCAAUGACUGAUGGUAUUUCACCUCUUUCCAAUUGCUUUAUUAUUUCCACUAUAUUUUCAAUUGUGAUCAUGAUUAUUUUCAUGAACAGAAACACUGCAGAUUCAGAGCUCUGCCGGGUCCUAAAGACCACCGCUCUGAGACAGGUUAAAUAAGAUCCAGGGUUCCACUGUGUCCUAAAGGUUAAAUAAGGGACUUGAGCAUCCACAUUUUUGGUAUCCCCAAGGGGUCCCUGAACCAAUCCCUCACGGAUCAAGAGGGCUGACUGUAGUUUGAUAUUAAAUGUACUUCGAAUCUUUGAACAUGUACAUGACAAUCCGACCAAUAAAGAUACUCAUUCAGAGUUUAGGUGUGAGGCAUCUAGUUGAUCAUUCAACAAUCUCAAGCAUAUAGCUGUUCCCACCAACUUGUCAUGAUGAUUUGGAACAUGGCAUGUUGGAACAGCAGAAAAAACUUCAAAAAUUAUAGGAGACAAAUGUAACACAUCUUUCUCCCUCAUCUGCUAAAUUAGUAUUUUGAUAUUAGUAUUAGGGAUAAAGGACCUAAGCCCUGAUAUAUCGAGUUGUUUUUGUGAAUACCUAUUACUGAAUUAAUCUAGUCUUGGGUGUCUAUUUUGGUGUAAAAGGAAAAAGAGUCUGUAUCAGAGAGUGGGACAGUUUUCUGCUCCUGGGACUUGUAACAAUAUUUGCUUAAUACAGAGUUUAAAUAGAUAGACCAUUUGCUUUCUUUAUAUUCUUUGUAGCUAAUAAAUUCAAACUUUUUGUCACCAACAUAAAUGUAUUUAGGCAUGAUGUUGUAUAGUAAAAUUAUCACAGGCAAAUUCAUUCAAUAUGUCAGAUCAGAUAUAGUAACACAUACAAUGCUCAGCCCCUACUAACAAUCUUCUAGUAAUCACUACCAAGAGCAUGCAAAAUUAUAUAAGAGGUAGCAACACACAAAAUGAGUCAGAUCUUUUUUUCCGGAGUAUCUAUACUCUAUAGAAAAAAGUCCUAGAAAAAAGUUUUAAAAGAAAUGGGUUUGGAAAGAGGAAAUUAUCCAGACAAUAAAGACAGAGUACUGGAAAAAGGAAUCCAGUGGAAAAAUGGCUAAUAUGAUUCAACUAUAUUGGAAAAUCCCACAGUGCUAAUGAUCAAGCUUUUUCUAUUUUGCUUCAUACUGCUUUCUACAUGUGCUGAAAAUAUGAAAAUAUAUCAAGUUUAAGUGCAUUGUCAUCUGACUGCAAAUAUAUACAGCCAAACAAAACAACAUUCCUCUGAACCAUGGUGCACUCAGAAAACUUAUCACACACAGUGCGUAAACUGAAAUAUUACCAUAAACACAUCAAUAAAAUACAAUUCAAAAUGCACGUAGUGAGCAGCACAGGUGAGCUAUAAACCCUCCGGUAAGUUUGCAGUGCAUGCAGAUGUAAUGGCUUCUUGGGAGCCAAAGGUGUAUUUUUUUCCUGUGUUAAAUGUGUUUUUUAUAAUCAUAAGACAAUUCUGGACUCCGGGUACUUUGGAUACCUCAUCAAUAAGCUACUCGUUUAUCAGAAUAGCUGAACGGGGUGUCAGAGGUGCCAACCGGCAUGUCAGAGAAGGAGCCAGCUGGUGUGUUGGAGGAGCCAAAUUGGGUUCAGAGGAGCUGACCUGGAUGCAGACUGUGUUGCUUCCUGCUACUCAAAGGCAUUGGAGUUGGUGCAUGAAGUCAGCGUGCAAUGUAACCAUGGGUGAUUGUCAUGGACAUUUCUCUUGGACUUUGAUAAUGUAAGAUGUUGAAGGCCUGCUUUCCUUAUCUGGUGAUGCGACAGGUGGAGGGACAGCUGUGCAGCCUCAGUUGUAGUGAGGACUGGGCCUCAAGCCAUGGGGUUGCCUGAUGUUGCAGUCCAGGAGAGGAGGCCCGCGAGGCAGUUUAGCAUGGUGUCCGUGCUUGGUUGAGGGCUGGUCUCUCCCAUUAGUGCUGGCCUCCGGUGUUCGAUUGGUGGAAUGACAGGCUGGAUUGCUGGAAAGUGUACCAUCAAUUUGGGGACAUCACUCAAAAUUUUGGGCUAUAUGUGUUUUUUUUUUGCAUGACUGUUUUUCUCUUGCAAAUUAGCAAAUUAGAAUGUGUUGUGUCUACUUUGCACCUUGGCCUCAGAGGAACGCUGAUUCUUUCAGCUGUAUCCAUGACGUAUGGUUGAAUAAUAAUUAAACUUAAUUUGAUUUGAAACAGUAAACAGCUUGUUGUCCUAGUGACAAGACCUUGAUGAUGGCAGGGUAUUCAUUAAUCUCACAGCCUGAGGGAUGAAGUUGUUAAUCAAUCUGGCAGUCCUGGUUCUGAUGUUCUGUACCUCCUUCCUGAUGAUAGUGGGUCAAAGAGACUGUGGAAUGGGGUGGUACAGAUACUCAACAAUG